UACGUAGGUGUCGAGCGUUGUCCGGAUUUAUUGGGCGUAAAGAGCCCGCAGGCGGCUUGGCAAGUUUGAGGUGAAAUCUCCCGGCUCAACUGGGAGGGUGCGCCGAAGACUGGAAGGCUUGAGUAUGGGAGAGGUAAGCGGAAUUCCUGGUGUAGCGGUGAAAUGCGUAGAUAUCAGGAGGAACACCGGUGGCGAAGGCGGCUCUCUGGACCGAGACUGACGCUGAGGCGCGAAAGCGUGGGGAGCAAACAGG
rnacentral:rRNA from 1 species